rnacentral:rRNA from 1 species
UACGUAGGGGGGCAAGCGUUGUCCGGAUUUAUUGGGCGUAAAGAGCGUGUAGGCGGCCAGACAGGUCCGUUGUGAAAACUCGAGCUCAACCUCGAGACGCCGAUGGAAACCGUUUGGCUAGAGUCCGGAAGAGGAGAGUGGAAUUCCUGGUGUAGCGGUGAAAUGCGCAGAUAUCAGGAAGAACACCCGUGGCUAAGGCGGCUCUCUAGUACGGUACUGACGCUGAGACGCGAAAGCGUGGGGAGCGAACAGG